GAGUAGGGGCAGGGGUUUCUUUCGGCCUCCAGCCGUUAAAGCCAAGUUGUAGGCCGACGGAAACUACUUGCCUCUAUGG
rnacentral:pre_miRNA from 1 species